rnacentral:rRNA from 1 species
CCUACGGGAGGCAGCAGUGAGGAAUAUUGGUCAAUGGGCGCGAGCCUGAACCAGCCAAGUAGCGUGAAGGAUGACUGCCCUACGGGUUGUAAACUUCUUUUAUAAAGGAAUAAAGUGAGGCACGUGUGCCUUUUUGUAUGUACUUUAUGAAUAAGGAUCGGCUAACUCCGUGCCAGCAGCCGCGGUAAUACGGAGGAUCCGAGCGUUAUCCGGAUUUAUUGGGUUUAAAGGGUGCGUAGAUGGUUUGUUAAGUUAGUGGUGAAAGUUUGGGGCUCAACCGUAAAAUUGCAAUUGAUACUGGCAGGCUUGAGGAUAGUUGAGGUAGGCGGAAUUCGUGGUGUAGCGGUGAAAUGCUUAGAGAUCACGAAGAACUCCGAUUGCGAAGGCAGCUUACUAAACUGCCACUGACAUUGAUGCUCGAAAGUGUGGGUAGCAAACAGGAUUAGAUACCCUAGUAGUC